rnacentral:misc_RNA from 1 species
CACCGUCAAUUCCUUUAAGUUUCAACCUUGCGGCCGUACUCCCCAGGCGGAGCACUUAAUGCGUUAGCUGCGGCACUGGAGGGGUCGAUGCCUCCAACACCUAGUGCUCACCGUUUACGGCUAGGACUACCGGGGUAUCUAAUCCCGUUUGCUCCCCUAGCUUUCGCGCCUCAGCGUCAGUAUUGGGCCAGAUGAGCGCCUUCGCCACCGGUGUUCCUCCUGAUAUCUACGCAUUUCACCGCUACACCAGGAAUUCCCUCAUCCUCUCCCAUACUCAAGCCAAGCAGUUUGGAAUGCAGAUCCCCGGGUGAGCCGGGGCAUUUCACAUCCCACUUACCUGACCGCCUACACGCCCUUUACGCCCAGUGAUUCCGAACAACGCUUGCUCCCCCCGUGUUAC